rnacentral:lncRNA from 1 species
GAUGAUAAAUGGAUAUAAUUGUACUUCUACAGAGUUUGAAGUGUGCGUGCAGGUAUAGUAAGGAUGUUUCCCAAGAUUUUAGUCAUGCCUGAGCUGCUCGAGAGUUGAGAAUGUUGGUUACAUAUAUUUCACAAGCAGUUAUUGCAACUUCUAUGCAGUCCUCUUGUACUGCGUUGAUGCCACUACUUGGAUUCGGUAAGUUGUUGGGCUCCUCUAGCCUUCCUUCCUCUUGUCAUUCUGUAUACCCAUUUAUAAUUUAUUGAGCAUUAUUGAAUAGUGUUGCAGGUUCCUUUCAGUCACCUGAUUUUUUCAGUGAUCGCAUGAAGACUUUAUUAUUUAGCAAGUAGAUAGUAUUAGUAGAUGCUUUUGAUCUGGAAAAGGCAUAAUACUUGUUUCCUCGCUGACUGUUGAAAAGCUUGAAGUUUUGACACACCUGGAUACUUCAUAAAAUCAUAAGUAGCAUGUAGUAUGGUAAGAUAUUGCCUUUAAGUAACUCUGUCAUCAUCACUACAUCAUGUGUUGAUGAGGCAUACCAGCAAAUAUUCUUUCCAUGGUUAAAAGGGCUGGAAAACCACAGUUCUACUAGGAGAUGGACCUUGACUAACAUAUGAUAUACCAUCCAUUUAGUUGCACAAUCAAACCUGAUAAAUCUUUCUUUCAGUUUUCUUGUAAGCAGCACAAUACAGUAUGUGCUCCAACACAGCAUCAAUACAGUAUGUCGGAGGAAACUCUUGCCUGCACUGGAGUCUGCUAGAGAUAACCUUACAUGGAUAUUUCUUGUGUUUCUAGGCUCUUGCAGGUAUGCUCUUAAGCUUUAGAUCAAUGUUCUUUUGAGAAUAAUAACUCAAUUGUUCAUACAUCAAUAAACGUUCCAUUGUAUAUAAGAUAAAACAUGUAGAACUCUCCUGAUUUGAUAAGUUCAAAACUUGUGCAAUAAUUCAACUUCUUCAUGGGAUAGUUGAAAGGUGAAACUGAACAGCAGUUAUCCACAUGCUGCAGAUCAAAGCUUUGCAUCGUUGUUCUCAUGGCGAACACCACUCAUAGCAAUGUCAGAAACAAUGGCUGGAGGCUGGCUUCUCCAGACAAAUAAACUACUGUGUGUAACCACACAAUAGGAGCCACGAGCAUACUACCACUACUACUUGGGGGUACAGCACGAGAGAGAUGAGGCAAGAAACACCCUCCUCUUCCCUUAAAUGUACAACCACAACAAAUUCUGAGCUCAAGCUCCAAAUCAUGGAUUUCAAUGAACAGAAGCAGCCGAAGGUAUGGCAUCCUUCAUGCACCAUAGAUUGCAGCUAGCCUCUGCAAGAUGGCCACCUUCAGCUCAAGGAUGCAGAUGUACUCAGCCGUCUGCUGGAGCAGCACAUUGACGUUGCCCUCAUGGGCAUCUGGUACGAUCUUCUUGAGCUCCCUUAGCCUCCUCUGCACCAUGUGCUGGAGGGGCUUCCUAUGCACUGAUGAGGCCACUCCUUUGGUCUUCCCAACUGUGACCAUGGAUUUCCGCUUCAUCUCUCUCUCUCUUCCCCCAAACUUAUGCUUUGCAAAUUAAGGUUGUGUUGUGUGACACAGGCACAACUCAGGAUGGAG